rnacentral:rRNA from 1 species
AACGAACGCUGGCGGCAUGCCUAACACAUGCAAGUCGAACGAGACCUUCGGGUCUAGUGGCGCACGGGUGCGUAACGCGUGGGAACCUGCCCUUAGGUUCGGAAUAACUCCCCGAAAGGGGUGCUAAUACCGGAUAAUGUCUUCGGACCAAAGAUUUAUCGCCUUUGGAUGGGCCCGCGUUGGAUUAGCUAGUUGGUAGGGUAAAAGCCUACCAAGGCGACGAUCCAUAGCUGGUCUGAGAGGAUGAUCAGCCACACUGGGACUGAGACACGGCCCAGACUCCUACGGGAGGCGGCAGUGGGGAAUAUUGGACAAUGGGCGAAAGCCUGAUCCAGCAAUGCCGCGUGAGUGAUGAAGGUCUUAGGGUUGUAAAGCUCUUUUACCCGGGAUGAUAAUGACAGUACCGGGAGAAUAAGCUCCGGCUAACUCCGUG